rnacentral:lncRNA from 1 species
AAAUGCGGGGGAACAGGACAUUUACUUUUAUUAAAGAUGAUCGCAAUUUUAUUAACAAAAUACUCUGCCGGGGCCGACGGGGAUUUCAGUUUUGGCGGACCCAAGCGGACUUAAAUAUUGCCGGCCAUCAGGUCCUGCACAGCUACGAGUUUUGCCGGACCUGCAUAAAUUCUGCCCCUUAGGUCCGACGGGUCCGACGAUUAGUUGCAUCUCUGUAA